rnacentral:rRNA from 1 species
UACGUAGGGUGCAAGCGUUAAUCGGAAUUACUGGGCGUAAAGGGCGCGUAGGCGGCAUGGCAAGUCAGGAGUGAAAGGCCUGGGCUCAACCGAGGAACUGCUUUUGAUACUGCCAAGCUAGAGUGCGGAAGGGGCAACUGGAAUUCCCAGUGUAGCGGUGAAAUGCGUAGAUAUUGGGAAGAACACCUGAGGCGAAGGCGGGUUGCUGGGCCGACACUGACGCUGAGGCGCGAAAGCCAGGGGAGCAAACGGG